CAGCCGCCGCGGUAAUACGAGGGGGGCAAGCGUUGUUCGGAAUUAUUGGGCGUAAAGGGUGCGUAGGCGGCUUGACAAGUCUUGUGUGAAAUCUAUGGGCUCAACCCAUAGUCUGCACGGGAAACUGUCGGGCUUGAGAAUGGGAGAGGUGAGUGGAAUUUCCGGUGUAGCGGUGAAAUGCGUAGAUAUCGGAAGGAACACCUGUGGCGAAAGCGGCUCACUGGACCAUUUCUGACGCUGAUGCACGAAAGCUAGGGGAGCAAACAGGAUUAGAUACCCCCGUAGUCCCUGUCUCUUAUAC
rnacentral:rRNA from 1 species